rnacentral:tRNA from 1 species
GGGGCAUUAGCGCAGCUGGUAGCGCAUCUGCUUUGCAAGCAGAGGGUCACCGGUUCGAAUCCGGUAUGCUCCACCA